rnacentral:rRNA from 1 species
GAUGAACGCUGGCGGCGUGCUUAACACAUGCAAGUCGAACGGGAAACAUUUCAUUGAGGCUUCGGCGGAUUUGGUCUGUUUCUAGUGGCGGACGGGUGAGUAACGCGUGGGUAACCUGCCUUGUACUGGGGGAUAACAGCCAGAAAUGGCUGCUAAUACCGCAUAAGCGCACGGGACCGCAUGGUCCUGUGUGGAAAACUCCGGUGGUAUAAGAGGGACCCGCGUUGGAUUAGCUAGUUGGCAGGGCAGCGGCCUACCAAGGCGACGAACCAUAGCCGGCCUGAGAGGGUGAACAGCCACAUUGGGGCUGAGACACGACCCAGACUCCUACGGGAGGCAGCAGUGGGGAAUAUUGCACAAUGGGGGAAACCCUGAUGCAGCGACGCCGCGUGAAGGAAGAAGUAUCUCGGUAUGUAAACUUCUAUCAGCAGGGAAGAUAAUGACGGUACCUGACUAAGGAGCCCCGGCUAACUACGUGCCAGCCGCCGCCGUAA